rnacentral:snoRNA from 1 species
AGACUAUUGGUGAUGUGGAUAAUCUCAAAGAAGGUCCUUAAAGCAUUCCCAAGCAUGAUUGAGGUUUUCAUCAGGCUUCUGUUUGAAAUACAUAAUUUCACUAUGAAGUGU